CUACGUAGGGUGCGAGCGUUGUCCGGAAUUACUGGGCGUAAAGAGCUCGUAGGUGGUUUGUCGCGUCGUCUGUGAAAUUCCGGGGCUUAACUCCGGGCGUGCAGGCGAUACGGGCAUAACUUGAGUACUGUAGGGGAGACUGGAAUUCCUGGUGUAGCGGUGAAAUGGGCAGAUAUCAGGAGGAACACCGGUGGCGAAGGCUGGUCUCUGGGUAGAAACUGACGCUGAGGAGCGAAAGCAUGGGGAGCGAACAGGAUUAGAUACCCUGGUAGUCCAUGCCGUAAACGGUGGGCGCUAGGUGUAGGGGGCUUCAACGCCUUCUGUGCCGUAGCUAACGCAUUAAGCGCCCCGCCUGGGGAGUACGGCCGCAAGGCUAAAACUCAAAGGAAUUGACGGGG
rnacentral:rRNA from 1 species